rnacentral:misc_RNA from 1 species
UUUUAAGUCAAGCGAUAUGAAUCCAAUUUGAUUGGUUCAAUUUGUAUUUCUAAGCCAAUGUCUUCCCUAUUUUUGAUUUUUCAUUUUCAUAAUUUAGUAAUCGGCUGUUCGGGUCGAAAGCAAAAGACUUGUAAGUUGAUUGGUUGAACGCACAAAAAGAUAGGGAUCAACAAUAUAACCAUUCAAGCCCAAAAUCCUUCAGAAUCAGAAACAGAAAGAUGAAA